ACUUCUCACAAAGGGAACUGAGCUGUGUAUUAUUUUUGAGUUGAUGGGUCCAGGGUAUGGAGAAUGUAGGGUUUCCUCUUAUGCCAUUUUACUGAUUCUGACUGCUUUUAAGAUUUUCCUUUUAUCUUUGGUUUUCAGAAAUUAAAUUAGCUUAUUUCUAGGUUUGCUUUACUAUUUGUUUAUCAUGCCUAGGCUUUGUUGAGAUCCUUGGAUCUGUAGAUUAAUAUUUUAAAUCAAAUUUGCAAUUUUGAGGCCAUUAAAAAUAUCUUGUUCUUAUCUUUCUUGUUCUUCUCUAGGGACUCCAACUAUACAUAUGUUAGAUAAUGUGAUAUAAUCUCAUGCAUUACUAGAAAUCUAUUCUUAUUUUAUUCAGAGUUUUAGAAUAUUAGAACUAGAACUAGCUAUAUUAUCAGACAUUCAUGAAUUCCACUGGCCUCAGAGUAGACUGGACCAAGUACCCCAGGGAAAGUAUGCACAUUUGCACAUGCAUAAUGCAUUGUAUUAGAUGAUUCUUCAUUUAUUUAAUAAAACAUUUAUAUAUGCUUUCCCUGUACCAGGGACUUAUCUAAGCAAUUACUGUCUACACAAUUAAAACUGUGCAGAUCUAAAUUAAGAAAAGAUAUGAUCUAAUUUCUGCUUCUACCUAGGAUUUAGAAAGCUGGAGAAAGUGUUGCACCCACACUAAUGAGAAAAAGCUGGAACAACUACAGAAUCAUACAUCCUCUGGAACUCAUGAGGGAUCUGUGGGCAAGGGAACCCCACUAGCCUGAAUUCCAGUUAAGGACGGGCCCUCUUUAAAUAAGAAAGGAUACACGGACUGUUUCACCUGUGGCAGAAAGAACUGAAUUUUCCUCAAAACUCAACAAAAUCUAUCGAGUACUAUCAUUUACUCCUCUUUCUAGAUACAGAGGCAUGGAAAGAUGAAAUAACUUGUCCAAAGUCACACAACUGGGGGGCCACGUGCAGAGGCCUUGCACCUGGUGCUUCCAUUAGGGUUCCUUGUGCAAAAUGAAAUGGCUGAGCUGAGGUGCCAGCUCCUGAGCCUUGUGCAGAAGCACCAGGCAGGACACUGUGAUUCAAGAUGGCAGCCGAGGGCCGUGUGCAGAGACCCUGCGCUGGGCACUGUGGUCAGAGACCAGAGCAGUGAGCCUGUGCUCAGCCUAAGAGAGCUGUGCCCCCUCCUACCACCGAGAACCUCAUAAAGUAGCCCCACCUUUUGUCUGUCGGGAGAGCACAUGCUGUAGAGUGUGAGCUCAUGCCUCUGCAUUCUUUGAUCAAAGAAUAAAGCCUUCCUUUGCUUCUAAA